GGAGGCGUCGCCUAGUCUGGUCUAUGGCGCUCGACUGCUAAUCGAGUUUGGGGUCAAACCCAUCGAGGGUUCAAAUCCCUCCGCCUCCG
rnacentral:tRNA from 1 species